rnacentral:rRNA from 1 species
AUGCAUGUCUAAGUACACACUUCCGAACAGUGAAACCGCGAAUGGCUCAUUAAAUCAGUUACGGUUCCUUAGAUUGUUGACCAGUAUACGGAUAACUUUUGGGAAUUCUAGAGCUAAUACGUGCCACGAAGCUUCGACUCACGGAGAAGCGCACUUAUUAGACCAAAACCAAUCAGCUUAGGCUGUGGUGUGGUGACUCUGGAUAACCUUGUGCUGAUCGCAUUGGCCUCGAGCCGGCGACAAAUCUUUAAAUGUCUGACCUAUCAACUUUCGAUGGUAGGUGAUGUGCCUACCAUGGUUGUUACGGGUAACGGGGAAUCAGGGUUCGAUUCCGGAGAAGGAGCCUGAGAAACGGCUGCUACUCCUACGGGAGGCAGCAGGCGCGCAAAUUACCCACUCCCGGCACGGGGAGGUAGUGACGAAAAAUAACGACGCCGGGUUCAUAUGAACUUCGGUGAUCGGAAUGAGACCACUCCAAAUCCGUUAACGAGGAUCUAAUAGAGGGCAAGUCUGGUGCCAGCAGCCGCGGUAAUUCCAGCUCUAUUAGCGUAUAUUAAAGUUGUUGCAGUUAAAAAGCUCGUAGUUGGAUCUCGGGCCCAGCCUGCCGGUCGCCCUCAUAGGGCGUUCUCGGAAAGGCGAACCUACCGCCGGUUCGGCCGCGUUACUCUUCACCGGGUGGCGCGGACGACCGGCACGUUUACUUUGAGAAAACUAAAGUGCUUAAAGCAUGCCGCCUAGGCAAGAAUAUUCGUGCAUGGAAUAAUGGAAAAGGACUUCGAGUCCAUUUUGUUGGUUUUUGGAUUCGAGGUAAUGAUUAAGAGGGACAGACGGGGGCAUUCGUAUUGCGCCGCGAGAGGUGAAAUUCUUGGACCGGCGCAAGACGUACGACUGCGAAAGCAUUUGCCAAGAAUGUUUUCAUUAAUCAAGAACGAAAGUCAGAGGUUCGAAGGCGAUCAGAUACCGCCCUAGUUCUGACCAUAAACGAUGCCAACUGGCGAUCUGCCGUUGUAUCUUAUAUCUCGGCAGGCAGCCACCGGGAAACCUCAAGUUUUUGGGUUCCGGGGAGAGUAUGGUUGCAAAACUGAAACUUAAAGGAAUUGACGGAAGGGCACCACCAGGAGUGGAGUCUGCGGCUCAAUUUGACUCAACACGCGGAAGCUUACCCAGUCAGGACACUCUAAGGAUUGACAGACCGAUAGCUCUUUCUCGAUUUGGUGAAUGGUGGUGCAUGGCCGUUCUUAGUUGGUGGAGUGAUUUGUCUGGUUAAUUCCGAUAACGAACGAGACUCGAUCCUGCUAAAUAGUUCGUUGAUUAUACUCUGUCAACGCCCAACUUCUUAGAGGGACAAGUGACUCUAAUUUAACAAGUCUACCACGAAACUGAGCAAUAACAGGUCUGUGAUGCCCUUAGAUGUCCGGGGCCGCACGCGCGCUACAAUGAAGUAGUCAACGUGCAUUUCAAAGCUGACCCGAAGGGGCCGGCGAAUCCGUUGAAUCUUCUUCAUACUUGGGACUGGGCUUUGUAAUUAUCGCCCACGAACGAGGAACUCCUAGUAUGUGCGGGUCAUCAGCUCGCGCAGAUUACGUCCCUGCCCUUUGUACACACCGCCCGUCGCUACUACCGAUUGAAUGCCUCAGUGAGAUAAUCGGAUUUGCUCCUAGUGGAGGUUAACGCCUCCGUUUGGAGCGAAGAAGAAUAUCAAACUUGGGCAUUUA